rnacentral:rRNA from 1 species
AGUGAACGCUGGCGGUAGGCCUAACACAUGCAAGUCGAACGGCAGCACAGGAGAGCUUGCUCUCUAGGUGGCGAGUGGCGGACGGGUGAGGAAUACAUCGGAAUCUGCCCAGUCGUGGGGGAUAACGUAGGGAAACUUACGCUAAUACCGCAUACGACCUUCGGGUGAAAGAGGGGGAUCGCAAGACCUCUCGCGAUUGGAUGAGCCGAUGUCGGAUUAGCUAGUUAGCGGGGUAAUGGCCCACCAAGGCGACGAUCCGUAGCUGGUCUGAGAGGAUGAUCAGCCACACUGGAACUGAGACACGGUCCAGACUCCUACGGGAGGCAGCAGUGGGGAAUAUUGGACAAUGGGCGCAAGCCUGAUCCAGCCAUACCGCGUGGGUGAAGAAGGCCUUCGGGUUGUAGAGCCCUUUUGUUGGGAAAGAAAUCUUUCAGGCUAAUACCCUGGGAGGAUGACGGUACCCAAAGAAUAAGCACCGGCUAACUUCGUG